UGGAACAUCUCUUAUACACAGCCUAAUAA
rnacentral:piRNA from 1 species